rfam:Aedes albopictus isolate Foshan contig96165, whole genome shotgun sequence.
UGCCCAGCAACUCCUAUCCCGACCUCCACGCGGUACCGGCCGGAAACUAUGAGCAACCUUAGGGAAGAUCGGGUAACCCACCCCGGUGGGAACUUUGGUCGUAGGCUGACAGGGAAGG